rnacentral:rRNA from 1 species
UACGAAGGGGACUAGCGUUGCUCGGAAUUACUGGGCGUAAAGCGCACGUAGGCGGAUUGUUAAGUCGGGGGUGAAAUCCUGGAGCUCAACUCCAGAACUGCCUUCGAUACUGGCGAUCUCGAGUUCGGGAGAGGUGAGUGGAACUGCGAGUGUAGAGGUGAAAUUCGUAGAUAUUCGCAAGAACACCAGUGGCGAAGGCGGCUCACUGGCCCGAUACUGACGCUGAGGUGCGAAAGCGUGGGGAGCAAACAGG